rnacentral:rRNA from 1 species
UACAGAGACCUCAAGCGUUAUCCGGAAUCAUUGGGCGUAAAGCGUACCGAUAGGUGGUCUAAAAAGUCAGAAGUGAAAUCUCAAGGCUCAACUUUGAGACUGUCUUUUGAAACUUUUAGACUAGAGGGGCAAAGAGGAAGCUGGAACGAACGGUGUAGUAGUGAAAUGCGUUGAUAUCGUUCGGAACACCAAUAGCGAAGGCGAGCUUCUGGGUGCCACCUGACACUGCUAGGACGAAAGCGUGGGGAGCGAAUGGG